rnacentral:rRNA from 1 species
GUUGUUGGGUAGGGGAGCGUUCUGUAAGCCUGUGAAGGUGGCCUGUGAGGGUUGCUGGAGGUAUCAGAAGUGCGAAUGCUGACAUAAGUAACGAUAAAGCGGGUGAAAAGCCCGCUCGCCGGAAGACCAAGGGUUCCUGUCCAACGUUAAUCGGGGCAGGGUGAGUCGACCCCUAAGGCGAGGCCGAAAGGCGUAGUCGAUGGGAAACGGGUUAAUAUUCCCGUACUUGGUGUUACUGCGAAGGGGGGACGGAGAAGGCUAUGUUGGCCGGGCGACGGUUGUCCCGGUUUAAGCGUGUAGGUGUGUGUUCCAGGUAAAUCCGGUUCACUUUAACACUGAGGCGUGAUGACGAGGCACUACGGUGCUGAAGCAACAAAUGCCCUGCUUCCAGGAAAAGCCUCUAAGCAUCAGGUAACAUCAAAUCGUACCCCAAACCGACACAGGUGGUCAGGUAGAGAAUACCAAGGCGCUUGAGAGAACUCGGGUGAAGGAACUAGGCAAAAUGGUGCCGUAACUUCGGGAGAAGGCACGCUGACACGUAGGUGAAGUGAUUUACUCACGGAGCUGAAGUCAGUCGAAGAUACCAGCUGGCUGCAACUGUUUAUUAAAAACACAGCACUGUGCAAACACGAAAGUGGACGUAUACGGUGUGACGCCUGCCCGGUGCCGGAAGGUUAAUUGAUGGGGUCAGCGCAAGCGAAGCUCCUGAUCGAAGCCCCGGUAAACGGCGGCCGUAACUAUAACGGUCCUAAGGUAGCGAAAUUCCUUGUCGGGUAAGUUCCGACCUGCACGAAUGGCGUAAUGAUGGCCAGGCUGUCUCCACCCGAGACUCAGUGAAAUUGAACUCGCUGUGAAGAUGCAGUGUACCCGCGGCAAGACGGAAAGACCCCGUGAACCUUUACUAUAGCUUGACACUGAACAUUGAGCCUUGAUGUGUAGGAUAGGUGGGAGGCUUUGAAGUGUGGACGCCAGUCUGCAUGGAGCCGACCUUGAAAUACCACCCUUUAAUGUUUGAUGUUCUAACGUGGACCCGUUAUCCGGGUUGCGGACAGUGUCUGGUGGGUAGUUUGACUGGGGCGGUCUCCUCCUAAAGAGUAACGGAGGAGCACGAAGGUUGGCUAAUCCUGGUCGGACAUCAGGAGGUUAGUGCAAUGGCAUAAGCCAGCUUGACUGCGAGCGUGACGGCGCGAGCAGGUGCGAAAGCAGGUCAUAGUGAUCCGGUGGUUCUGAAUGGAAGGGCCAUCGCUCAACGGAUAAAAGGUACUCCGGGGAUAACAGGCUGAUACCGCCCAAGAGUUCAUAUCGACGGCGGUGUUUGGCACCUCGAUGUCGGCUCAUCACAUCCUGGGGCUGAAGUAGGUCCCAAGGGUAUGGCUGUUCGCCAUUUAAAGUGGUACGCGAGCUGGGUUUAGAACGUCGUGAGACAGUUCGGUCCCUAUCUGCCGUGGGCGCUGGAGAACUGAGGGGGGCUGCUCCUAGUACGAGAGGACCGGAGUGGACGCAUCACUGGUGUUCGGGUUGUCAUGCCAAUGGCACUGCCCGGUAGCUAAAUGCGGAAGAGAUAAGUGCUGAAAGCAUCUAAGCACGAAACUUGCCCCGAGAUGAGUUCUCCCUGAGACUUAGAGUCUCCUGAAGGAACGUUGAAGACGACGACGUUGAUAGGCCGGGUGUGUAAGCGCAGCGAUGCGUUGAGCUAACCGGUACUAAUGAACCGUGAGGCUUAACCUU